CGAUUAUAUAAGCAAGAGUUCUUCAAACAACUGUUUCUGAUCACCCCUCCUUAGUAUUCAAUGAUCUUUUCGAGUCUAAGUACCUAGCCAGUAAUUUCACCCUUGACUCGAUGACUUAACUAAACCCUUGACUCCACCGUCUGGCCAUAAAAUAAAAACCACUUCCAAAGUGCAGCAGCAGCAGCAGCCGCAGCACAAGCAGUUGAAACAAGACUUUAGGACCGAGCAAGUGUUAAUUUGUGGCCACAUCAACCCGAGCUCUUGUUGAACCCGGCAACCCUGAAAACAGCCCUCCGGCAAGUGCAGCUUAAUAAAAAAAAAAAAGCAGCAGCAAAAAAUUAAGAGAUUAAUACGAGACAAGCAAAUGCAAAAUUUCAGCCAUAAACAAGUCGGGAGAGCUCGGCACAAGACAGGGAAUGCGAUAAAACCAGCAUGAAAGUAAUGUUAAAUUCGGAAGUCGAGGCGGGAAAUACACUCGAAAAAUCAUGGCAAAUUUCUUAAUAAAAACAUUCAAUUGGAAACAGGAAAAAUAACUUAAUACAGAU
ensembl:ncRNA lncRNA:CR45461 long non-coding RNA:CR45461